CCUACGGGUGGCAGCAGUGGGGAAUAUUGCACAAUGGGGGAAACCCUGAUGCAGCGACGCCGCGUGAGUGAAGAAGGAUUUCGGUACGUAAAGCUCUAUCAGCAGGGAAGAAAAUGACGGUACGUGACUAAGAAGCCGCGGAUAACUACGUGCCAGCAGGCGCGGUAAUACGUAGGGGGCAAGCGUUAUCCGGAGUUACUGGGUGUAACGGGAGCGUAGACGGCAGCGCCAGUCUGGAGUGACAUCCCAUGGCUUAACCCUGGGACGGCUUUGGAAACUGUGCAGCGGGAGUGCAGGAGCGGUAAGCGGCAUUCCUAGUGUAGCGGUGAAAUGCGUAGAUAUUAGGCGGAACCCCAGUGGCGCAGGCGGCUUACUGGACUGUAACUGACGUUGAGGCUCG
rnacentral:rRNA from 1 species